ACCUGGGUGGCUCAGUAGGUUAAGCCUCUGACUUCAGCUCAGGUCAUCAUCUUGUGGUUCAUGAGUUCAAGCCCCAUGUCAGGUU
rnacentral:tRNA from 1 species